CAAUUUUCCCCCAAGGCAAGUUGUGCAGCUGACAUUCUGCCUUGACAGGAGGAGGCGAUUUGUCUUUCCAGAACCCUGCCAACAGCAAGCAUUCUCUUUCCAAUGGCUUUCCCAAUUUACAGAGGAGACUCAACCCACCUGGGCCAUGGUUGGAAAGAUGAAUAGAAAGACACUGCCUCCCCUGGUCUCCACUGGGCACAGAGAGGGUGGAUAAUGAGCAUAUCGUCUACACUCCUCAGGGAAAACAAAUGACUCCAGAUCCCCGGUCAGAGGUUGAUAUCCCUGGGACUCGCCAUCAACCAACCCUGACUACGGAUGAGCAAGAAGCGCAUGGCUGAGGAAGGAGGAAUCCCAUAUCUGAACCAGCCACAUCUGAGCUCUGCCACAAACAGCAGGGAAUCUAGGACAAAGGUCCCAGCAUCAAGACUCACCAUUUCCACCAGCACUCCAUAGGGUUCCUCCCUGGUCCUUAAACACAG
rnacentral:lncRNA from 1 species